rnacentral:tRNA from 1 species
GGUCUUAUAGUUUAAUAAAAACAUUAAAUUGCAAAUUUAAAAUUGGUACAAUCUAAGACUU